rnacentral:lncRNA from 1 species
AAAACAACUUAAAAGACAAACUAGUAAAAGAACAGAGAUUAUAACAAACUAUCUCUCAGACCACAGUGCAAUCAAACUAGAACUCAGGAUUAAGAAUCUCACUCAAAACCGCUCAACUACAUGGAAACUGAACAACCUGCUCCUGAAUGACUACUGGGUACAUAACGAAAUGAAGGCUGAAAUAAAGAUGUUCUUUGAAACCAACGAGAACAAAGACACAACAUUCCAGAAUCUCUGGGAUGCAUUCAAAGCAGUGUGUAGAGGGAAAUUUAUAGCACUAAAUGCCCACAAGAGAAAGCAGGAAAGAUCCAAAAUUGACACCCUAACAUCACAAUUAAAAGAACUAGAAAAGCAAGAGCAAACACAUUCAAAAGCUAGCAGAAGGCAAGAAA